UACGUAGGGUGCAAGCGUUGUCCGGAAUUAUUGGGCGUAAAGAGCUCGUAGGCGGUUUGUCGCGUCGGCUGUGAAGUCCUGAGGCUCAACCUCAGGCCUGCAGUCGAUACGGGCAGACUUGAGUGUUGCAGGGGAGACUGGAAUUCCUGGUGUAGCGGUGAAAUGCGCAGAUAUCAGGAGGAACACCGGUGGCGAAGGCGAGUCCCGUGGACGACUCCUGACACUGAGGCACGAAAGCUAGGGGAGCAAACAGG
rnacentral:rRNA from 1 species